UAUGGCCAUAUCGUGUUAAAACACCGGUCCCCGUACGAUCACCGAAGUUAAACAACGUCGAGACUGGUCAGUACCUAGGUGGGUGACAGUAUGGGGAGGCCAGGUGCUGUAAG